rnacentral:rRNA from 1 species
UGGGGAAUAUUGCACAAUGGGCGCAAGCCUGAUGCAGCAACGCCGCGUGAGGGAUGACGGCCUUCGGGUUGUAAACCUCUUUUAGUAGGGAAGAAGCGAAAGUGACGGUACCUGCAGAAAAAAGCACCGGCUAACUACGUGCCAGCAGCCGCGGUAAUACGUAGGGUGCGAGCGUUGUCCGGAAUUAUUGGGCGUAAAGAGCUCGUAGGCGGUCUGUCGCGUCUGCUGUGAAAACCCGAGGCUCAACCUCGGGCCUGCAGUGGGUACGGGCAGACUAGAGUGCGGUAGGGGAGAAUGGAAUUCCUGGUGUAGCGGUGGAAUGCGCAGAUAUCAGGAGGAACACCGAUGGCGAAGGCAGUUCUCUGGGCCGUAACUGACGCUGAGGAGCGAAAGCGUGGGGAGCGAACAGGAUUAGAUACCCUGGUAGUCCACGCCGUAAACGUUGGGCGCUAGAUGUGGGGACCAUUCCACGGUUUCCGUGUCGCAGCUAACGCAUUAAGCGCCCCGCCUGGGGAGUACGGCCGCAAGGCUAAAA